GACGAACGCUGGCGGCGUGCUUAACACAUGCAAGUCGAACGAAGUGGCGACCGGGUGAGUAACGCGUAGUCAACCUGCCCUUCAGAGGGUGACAACAGUUGGAAACGACUGCUACUACCGCAUACUGAAGGAAGGGAGUGAGUAUGAUUAGCUAGUUGGAGGGGUAACGGCCCACCAAGGCGAUGAUAAGUAGCCGGGUUGAGAGGGUGAACGGCCAAAUUGGGAAUGAGUAACGGCCCAGACUCCUUCGGGAGGCAGCAGGGGGGAAUCAUCCGCAAUGGACGAAAGUCUGACGGAGCAACGCCGCGUGAGUGAUGACGGCCUUCGGGUUGUAAAGCUCGGUUAAUCGGGACGCGGUACCGGAAUAGAAAGCCACGGCUAACUACGUGCCAGCAGCCGCGGUAAUUC
rnacentral:rRNA from 1 species